rnacentral:pre_miRNA from 1 species
CAUUGAGGUGCAUGCAUGCAGUUGCAUAUUACAGGGCAACAUCUCCAUUGGCAGGCUGCAUACUUAUUACAUCCAUCUCAUAUAUACGUAUGUUCUUCAGUCAGUGUGCCUUCUGCCAAAGGAGAUUUGCCCGGCAAUUCCUCUGCAUUUAUUUU